AUAUCUUAGUUUUCCCAUAGGAUUUUGUUUUCUCCAGAUUGUCCAGACUGUUGAGCAGCUGUGUCUACUCCGAUGUAAAAGAUGAGUCGGCCACACGGUUUACCAGGAAGUUCUUUACACAUGACCGAGAGGGUCAAGUGUCAGACGAUUGUUGCUCACACGAUCUGUUGUGUGACCCCCACAUAGCUGGCUUGUUGGCUUUAUGGAGAAACUCUACUAGAUGACAAGCCAGGAUUAAAAUUUUAGUGAGGUCGUCUGUCGAAACACGGUUGUAAAAACAUGUAAGCCGAGAUUCAUCACUGAAAACACGUCAGUAAAGACACUACUUGUGAGACACAUCAGUAAAAACAUGUCAAUAAAUACACACCAACGAAGACACGCCAGUAAAGACACGCCAGUAAAGACAAGUCAGUUAAGCAACGUCUGGUGAGAUAGGAAAGUGACAGAGAUGGCAGAAACCGUCUUUGUUACAUUUCUCUUCAUGGAGCUGUUUAACCCUAACGGUAACUGGAGUCUUCAUCACCAAGCAGCCUGUGACAAUACCACAAAAAGCUAUUCUGCAAAUGACUUUGUCAUUAUAACCAGGACUAGUGAACAUUCUUCUCCAGCAAGCACAGGCUGUGAAUGUGAAUUAAUGACCACAGGGAACCUCACUAUCUACAGCAACAUACGGGCUCACCAAGAAAACAGUACACAAGUCAAUUCUUCCCAAUGGAUUAAAUUAAUUAGCAAUCAAUUUUUUGAUCAUAAAGCAGCAUUAGUUUUAUUCAUUCAAGGUAAGUUGCACAAUAAAUUAAGAUAAUUAUUUCCACUACUAUAGCAUAAACUAUUUGGCAGGGGAAC